rnacentral:rRNA from 1 species
UACGGAGGAUGCAAGCGUUAUCCGGAUUUAUUGGGUUUAAAGGGUGCGUAGGCUGUUUGUCAAGUCAGGGGUGAAAUGCCGCGGCUUAACCGUGGAAUUGCCUUUGAUACUGGCAGGCUUGAAUACUGUUGCCGUGGGAGGAAUGAGUAGUGUAGCGGUGAAAUGCAUAGAUAUUACUCAGAACACCGAUUGCGAAGGCAUCUCACGAAACAGCGAUUGACGCUGAGGCACGAAAGCGUGGGGAUCAAAC